rnacentral:rRNA from 1 species
GACGAACGCUGGCGGCGUGCUUAACACAUGCAAGUCGAACGGAAAGGCCCUGCUUUUGUGGGGUGCUCGAGUGGCGAACGGGUAAGUAACACGUGAGUAACCUGCCCCUGACUUUGGGAUAACUUCAGGCAACUGGGGCUAAUACCGGAUAGGAGCUCCUGCUGCAUGGUGGGGGUUGGAAAGUUUCGGCGGUUGGGGAUGGACUCGCGGCUUAUCAGGUUGUUGGGUGGGUAGUGGAUUAGCAAGGCUUUGACGGGUGGCCGGCCUGGGAGGGGGACCGGCCACAUUGGGACUGGGAUGCGACCCGGCCUCGUACGGUAGGCAGCGGUGGGGAAUAUUGCACUAUGGGCGGAAGCCUGGUGCAGCGACGCCGCGUGCGGGAUGACGGCCAUCGGGUUGGAAACCGCUUUCGCCUUAGACGAAGCGUGAGUGACGGUAAUGGGUAAAGAAGCACCGGCUAACUACGUG